rnacentral:tRNA from 1 species
GCUAGGAUAGCUCAGUUGGUAGAGCAAAGGACUGAAAAUCCUUUUGUCACCAGUUCAAGUCUGGUUCUUGGCA